CCUACGGGAGGCAGCAGUGAGGAAUAUUGGUCAAUGGACGCAAGUCUGAACCAGCCAUGCCGCGUGCAGGAAGACGGCUCUAUGAGUUGUAAACUGCUUUUGUACGAGGGUAAACGCAGAUACGCGUAUCUGUCUGAAAGUAUCGUACGAAUAAGGAUCGGCUAACUCCGUGCCAGCAGCCGCGGUAAUACGGAGGAUUCAAGCGUUAUCCGGAUUUAUUGGGUUUAAAGGGUGCGUAGGCGGUCGGAUAAGUUAGUGGUGAAAUACCGAGGCUCAACUUCAGAAUUGCAACUGAUACUGGCAGUCUAGAGAAUAGUUGCGGUAGGCGGAAUGUAUGGUGUAGCGGUGAAAUGCUUAGAGAUCAUACAGAACACCGAUUGCGAAGGCAGCUUACUAAGCUACUUCUGACGUUGAGGCACGAAAGUGUGGGUAGCAAACAGGAUUAGAUACCCGAGUAGUC
rnacentral:rRNA from 1 species